GUCAAUACUCGACCCACUCCACAGAUCUGGACUCAGCUCGGUUCAAAUCCAGUUCUACCUUCUUGACAGUGACGCCUCCUGGGAACAAAAGAUGCGUUUUGGCCAAACACAGACCCGCUUUUAAAAGUCUCAUUGUGACAACAGCUCGGUCGGACCCAGGGUGGUCUUAUUCCUCCUUCAGCUCGACCCCGAGAUCCCACAGCCCCUACAAGCCGGUGAAUGUCACGCUGAAACACUGAUGGCCGCUUGUGCAACGCUACUUCCGCGUCUACGGCAACUACGACCUGCCAAAAAGUACAAAUGUGCGCUUUAAUAUUAAUAAUGAAACGUCGCCACCUUCGAAAAAAUAAAACACAAGUAAUCAAUCAAAUGUUCAGUUUGACAUAUUUUAAAAUAUAAAUAUACAAACACGAUCUAAAAUGAUUAAAAAGCCAAAUAGGAACAUGCUGCUUUCGAAUGCUGUCAUGCUCUGUCCACGUGUGGCAAAGGUUCAUCCAGAUAGCUACAACAGUAUUCAGGGAUUUAAGAGAAACCUUCUUACUUUUAAACAACUUUCAGAUUUUUAUUUUCGUCUGUGUGUCUUUUUGUGUGUGCAUUUUUUCAACUUUUAACUAAUUGUGUUACCUGGAUGUGGGCUGAUACCAGACUGCAGGACUUGACAGCUCCCCAAAAGUGAAGCCAACUGUUCUUGAUCGCCCCCCAAUGACUUGCUGCAGUAUCGGUCAAAAGAGUUCCAUGAGCAACAAUUAGGUGAUUCUUAGUUACAGAUUUGCACGUUCACAAGUUAAGACAAGUUUAAAAACACUUCAAUGGUGCAACUCGAUGUAACAAAUCACUGGGAGACUUUGAAUUCAUGGAGAUGAUAGCUGGUGGUUUUUAGUCAAAGUGUGAAACUAGUUAUACAUCUUCAACUUCACAUUUUGUUUGAUUGUCAGCUGGGAUGUUCACUUAUCAUCAUGUUAAUCCUCAGUCAGUUCAGCUCAAGGUGACGGUUAAAAUGACUGUGACUCUGCCAUGCUCUGUUCGACAUGCAUUAUUUCCUCUUUCAUGUCAACCAUGCUUGUACAACAGAACUGCACACACCCACACACAAGCACACACACUACACACAUACAAACACACACACUAGCCACAGACACAUCCCCCACACAGCCUGACAGUUAAAAAACCUCCACAUCCCUGUCAGCCGCUCACAGCUGCUUCACAUGCACCAGAGCAGCAGCUCAACUUCUGUCUGAUAUUAACUCCUCUUACAUGGAGAGAACGGAUCAUGUUGCGAUUCCACAGAGGAAAAUGGAUUAUAUGACUAAUGGCUGACUGCUCUGUGAGAGACUCGUUGGUUUCAAA